rnacentral:rRNA from 1 species
GGCGGACGGGUGAGUAACGCGUGGACGAUCUACCCAAGGAUUCGGGAUAACCUUGCGACAGCGGGGCUAAUACCGAAUGGUCUGGGCAUUUUGAAAUGUGCCUGGUAAAGGUGGCCUCUGAUUCAAGCUAUCGUCUUUGGAUGGGUCCGCGUCCCAUUAGCUUGUUGGUAGGGUCAAGGCCUACCAAGGCGACGAUGGGUUGCUGGUCUGAGAGGAUGAUCAGCCACACUGUGACUGGAACACGGCCCAGACUCCUACGGGAGGCAGCAGUGGGGAAUAUUGGGCAAUGGGCGCAAGCCUGACCCAGCAACGCCGCGUGAGGGAAGAAGGUCUUCGGAUCGUAAACCUCAGUCAGGAGGGAAGAAAUGGGUUGUCCUGAACAGGGAUGGCCUUUGACGGUACCUCCAGAGGAAGCACCGGCCAACUCUGUGCCAGCAGCCGCGGUAAUACGGAGGGUGCAAGCGUAAUUCGGAAUCACUGGGCGUAAAGGGCACGUAGGCGGCUUUGCAAGUCAGGUGUGAAAGCCCUCGGUUUCAACCGAGGAAUUGCAUUUGAAACUGUAGAGCUCGAAGUUCGGGAGAGGGGUUGGCGGAAUUCCAGGUUGUAGGAGUGAAAUCCGAAGAAUUUUGGAGGAAACACCAGAAGCUGAAGGGGGCCACCUGGACCGAAACUGAACGCUGAGGUGCGAAAGCGUGGGGAGCAAACAGGAUUAGAUACCCCUGGUAGUCCAACGCCGUAAACGAUGGAUGCUAGAUGCUGGGUGUGUAAGACACUCGGUGUCGGAGUUAACGCGUUAAGCAUCCCGCCUGGGGAGUACGGUCGCAAGGCUGAAACUCAAAGAAAUUGACGGGGGCCCGCACAAGCGGUGGAGUAUGUGGUUUAAUUCGAUGCAACGCGAAGAACCUAGCCUGGGCUUGACAUCCCGGGAACCUCCUGGAAACAGGGGCGUGCUCUUCGGGGAACCCGGUGACAGGUGCUGCAUGGCUAUCGUCAGCUCGUGCCGUGAGUUGUUGGGUUAAGUCCCGCAACGAGCGCAACCCUUGUCCUUAGUUGCCAUCAGGUAAAGCUGGGCCCUCUAGGGAGACUGCCGAGGUGAACUCGGAGGAAGGUGGGGACGACGUCAAGUCAUCAUGGCCCUUACGCCCAGGGCUACACACGUACUACAAUGGUGGGUACAAAGGGAAGCCAAGCCGCGAGGUGGAGCCAAUCCCGAAAAGCCUACCCCAGUCCAGAUCGCAGUC